ACUCGCUUGGUGUAAUUGGUAAACACGGUAGACUUAAAAUCUACUCCUACCACAGGGUAUCGGUUCAAGUCCGAUAGCGGGUA
rnacentral:tRNA from 1 species